AUAAGGGAUUAGAAGCUACCAAGAG
rnacentral:piRNA from 1 species